UCUUCCGUAGUAUAGUGGUCAGUAUAUGAGCUUGUCAUUGAAUGCAUCUUCCUGAGCAAUCAGGAGGUUGUAAAGAUACUCGCUCGGGACCCGGGUUCAAUUCCCGGCGGGAGAG